GGCGGGCGCGCGGCCGCUGGCCGAGAGCGAGGCGGGCCCGGAGCGCGGCGCGGGGAACGCGCGGCCGCCGGGUCGCGCGAAGGGCCGCUGCGUGGAGCCGGACGUUCGGCGGCGCGCUCUCUCGCCGGCAAGUGAGGAGCCGAAGCGUGUUCGUCGUCGGGCGCUAAGGGCUUGUUGAGAAAGUCACCAGUCACAGGUGUGUACAUGUGACACCGGCACCUUGAAGUCUCUGGAGCCCUGGAAACUCCUGCAGCUCUGUCCACUGAAGAGGCCCAGAAGCAAUGUUAUCCAGAGGUAAUGAACAUACUAGUGCCAAGACCCUGGUUUCAAAGCACUGUUCAUCACUGAAAGGAAGGAAUGUUCCCUGGAAAAAUGGCUGAUUCCAGAUCAGAAACAGAGAAUGUACAAGGCUGGUGUGAUGAUUUUCAAUUUGGGUCAAGAAAACAGCCUUUUAGGGCUUCCCUGGUGGCGCAGUGGUUGAGAGUCUGCCUGCCAAUGCAGGGGACACGAGUUCGAGCCCUGGUCUGGGAAGAUCCCACAUGCCGCGGAGCAACUAGGCCCGUGAGCAACAAUUACUGAGCCUGCGCGUCUGGAGCCUGUGCUCCUCAACAAGAGAGGCCGCGAUAGUGAGAGGCCCGCGCACCGCGAUGAAGAGUGGCCCCCACUUGCCGCAACUAGAGAAAGCCCUCGCACAGAAACGAAGACCCAACACGGCCAUAAAUAAAUAAAUAAAUAAAUAAAAAUUAAAAAAAAAAAAAGAAAACAGCCUUUGAAAGUUAUUGAAGGCUGACACAUACCAGCAGAAAAGGAAACAUUGCCACCAAUCGAUCAUCAUGACUUUAUAUGAUUUGACUAUUGUGUUCUUUAUAACGCAUUAUUAUUUUCAAUUUCCAAGAUAGUUAUAAUUUUGCAUGAU